rnacentral:tRNA from 1 species
GGCCUGGUAGCUCAGUUGGUUAGAGCAUCGUCCUGUUAACACCAAGUUUGCAGGUUCGAUCCCCAGCCAGGGCA